GGCACAGUGGUGCAGUGGGUAGCACUGUGGCCUUUCAGUUAAAAGGUUGCUGGUUCGAGACUCGCUGGUGACU